rnacentral:rRNA from 1 species
AACGAACGCUGGCGGCAUGCCUAACACAUGCAAGUCGAACGAGACCUUCGGGUCUAGUGGCGCACGGGUGCGUAACGCGUGGGAAUCUACCCUCAGGUUCGGAAUAACUCAGAGAAAUUUGAGCUAAUACCGGAUGAUGACGUAAGUCCAAAGAUUUAUCGCCUGAGGAUGAGCCCGCGUAGGAUUCGGUAGUUGGUGAGGUAAAGGCUCACCAAGCCGACGAUCCUUAGCUGGUCUGAGAGGAUGAUCAGCCACACUGGGACUGAGACACGGCCCAGACUCGUACGGGAGGCAGCAGUGGGGAAUAUUGGAGAAUGGGCGAUAGCCUGAUCCAGCAAUGCCGCGUGAGUGAUGAAGGCCUUAGGGUUGUAAAGCUCUUUUACACGGGAUGAUAGUGACGGUACCGGGAGAAUAAGCUCCGGCUAACUACGUG